UGCAAGUAUCCGCAACCCUGUGAGAACGCCCUUAAACCCCUUCUGGGAUAAGGAGCUGGUAUCAGGCACAACACUAAGCCCAAGACACCUAGCUAUGCCACACCCACAAGGGAUAUCAGCAGUGAUUAACAUUAAAUAUAAGCGACAGCUUGAUUUAGUUAAAGUGCAAAGAGCCGGCAAAUCUGGUGCCAGCCGCCGCGGUUACACCAAGAGGCCCAAAUUGAUUUUAAUCGGCGUAAAGCGUGAUUAAAGUUAGUACCUAUUAGAGUUAAACUAAAAUUAAGCUGUAGCACGCUUGUUUUUAGGAAGCCCGAAAACGAAAGUUACCCUAAUUUAAACAACUUGAACUCACGACAACUGGGAAACAAACUGGGAUUAGAUACCCCACUAUGCCUAGUCGUAAACUUUAAAUUACAUCAUUAUCGCCAGGGAACUACGAGCAAAGCUUAAAACCCAAAGGACUUGACGGUACCCCAUAUCCACCUAGAGGAGCCUGUCCUAUAAUCGAUACCCCCCGCUUUACCUCACCAUUUCUAGCCUAUCAGCCUGUAUACCUCCGUCGUCAGCUUACCACGUGAGCGAAAUUAAGUGAGCUCAAUGUUUUUACAUCAAUACGUCAGGUCAAGGUGCAGCAAAAUGAAAUGGGAAGAGAUGGGCUACACUUUCUAUACUAGAAUACACGAAAGACUAUUUAUGAAAUCUAGUCAGAAGGCGGAUUUAGAAGUAAAAAGAAACUAUAGUGUUCUUUUAACCCGGCACUGGG
rnacentral:rRNA from 1 species